rnacentral:rRNA from 1 species
GACAGAGGUGCCGAGCGUUAGGCGGAAUCACUGGGCUUAAAGCGUGUGUAGGCGGACCGUUAAGUGUCUUGUGAAAUCCCCCGGCUCAACCGGGGAACGGCUGGGCAUACUGGCGGUCUUGAGAGACCUAGGGGCGAGCGGAACAGGCGGUGGAGCGGUGAAAUGCGUAGAUAUCGCCUGGAACGCCGACGGUGAAAACAGCCCGCUGGGGGUCUUCUGACGCUGAGACACGAAAGCCAAGGGAGCGAACGGG